GGAGUUAGCCGGUGCUUCUUCUGCGAGUAACGUCACAGAUGUAAGGUAUUAACUUACACCCUUUCCUCCUCGCUGAAAGUGCUUUACAACCCGAAGGCCUUCUUCACACACGCGGCAUGGCUGCAUCAGGGUUUCCCCCAUUGUGCAAUAUUCCCCACUGCUGCCUCCCGUAGGAGUCUGGGCCGUGUCUCAGUCCCAGUGUGGCUGAUCAUCCUCUCAGACCAGCUAGGGAUCGUCGCCUAGGUGAGCCUUUACCUCACCUACUAGCUAAUCCCACCUGGGCUUAUCCAUCAGCGCAAGGCCCGAAGGUCCCCUGCUUUCCCCCGUAGGGCCGUAUGCGGUAUUAGCAGUCGUUUCCAACUGUUAUCCCCCACAAAUGGGCAAAUUCCCAGGCAUUACUCACCCGUCCGCCGCUCGUCAUCUUCAAAAGCAAGCUUUUAGAAUGUUACCGCUCGACUUGCAUGUGUUAGGCCUGCCGCCAGCGUUCAAUCUGAGCCAGGAUCAAACUCUGA
rnacentral:rRNA from 1 species